rnacentral:lncRNA from 1 species
AUGCCCCCCGUGGUGAUUUCAGCAGCAAACGUGAUUGAGUCCUGUGUUUUGCAAAAUGAGGCUGGAUGGCCAUCUGUCGGGGGUGCUUUGAAUGCGAUUUCCUGCUUCUUGGCAGGGGGUUGGACUGGAUGGCCAUCUGUCGGGGGUGCUUUGAAUGCGAUUUCCUGCUUCUUGGCAGGGGGUUGGACUGGAUGGCCCAUGAGGUCUCUUCCAACUCUACUAUUCUAUGAUUCUAUGAUUCUAUGUGUACAAUGUGAUCCGCCCUGAGUCCCCUUCGGG